rfam:Myotis brandtii contig273093, whole genome shotgun sequence.
GUGCUCGCUUGGGCAGCACAUAUACUCAAAUUAGAACCACACAGCAAUUAGCAUGGCCCCCGUGCCAGGAUGACAUGCAAAUUGGUGAAGCAACCCAUAUGUUC